AAAUCAACAUUAUAACGGCGUAAAGUGUGGUCACAUGCUAUCCAAGUAACUAAGAUCAAAAGGCAGCUGAGUCGUCACAAGCCCAAGAUGCCCAUAAGACCGCUACUCAAAGAGAAUCUUAGGCCAACGAUUAAUUGAAAUCCACGAAAGCCAGGGCCCAAACUGGGAUUAGAUACCCCACUAUGCCUGGCCCUAAAUCUUGAUGCUCGAUCUUACCGGAGCAUCCGCCCGAGAACUACGAGCAUAAACGCUUAAAACUCUAAGGACUUGGCGGUGCUUCAAAUCCACCUAGAGGAGCCUGUUCUGUAAUCGAUGAUCCACGAUAUACCUUACCAUUCCUAGCCCAAAGCAGCCUAUAUACCGCCGUCGCCAGCCCACCCCCCAUGAAGGACCAACAGU
rnacentral:rRNA from 1 species